AUUGAACGCUGGCGGCAGGCCUAACACAUGCAAGUCGGGCGAGAGGCGGACGGGUGAGUAAUGUAUGGGGAUCUGCCUGGUGGAGGGGGAUAACUACUGGAAACGGUUGCUAAUACCGCAUACAAUCAGAUGAACCCAUAUGGGAUUAGCUUGUAGGGGAGGUAACGGCUAACCUAGGCGACGAUCCCUAGCUGGUGUGAGAGGAUGAACAGCCACACGGGGACUGAGACACGGCCCAGACUCCUACGGGAGGCAGCAGUGGGGAAUAUUGGACAAUGGGCGCAAGCCUGAUGCAGCCAUGCCGCGUGAAUGAAGAAGGCCUUCGGGUUGUAAAGUUCUUUCGGUAGCAAGGCGUUAACUGCAGAAGAAGCACCGGCUAACUCCGUGCCAGCAGCCGCGGUAAUAC
rnacentral:rRNA from 1 species